rnacentral:rRNA from 1 species
GACGAACGCUGGCGGCGUGCUUAACACAUGCAAGUCGAACGGAAAGGCCCUGCUUUUGUGGGGUGCUCGAGUGGCGAACGGGUGAGUAACACGUGAGUAACCUGCCCUUGACUUUGGGAUAACUUCAGGAAACUGGGGCUAAUACCGGAUAGGAGCUCCUGCUGCAUGGUGGGGGUUGGAAAGUUUCGGCGGUUGGGGAUGGACUCGCGGCUUAUCAGCUUGUUGGUGGGGUAGUGGCUUACCAAGGCUUUGACGGGUAGCCGGCCUGCGAGGGUGACCGGCCACAUUGGGACUGAGAUACGGCCCAGACUCCUACGGGAGGCAGCAGUGGCGAAUAUGGCACAAUGAUCGGAAGCCUGAUGCAGCAACGUCGCGUUCGGGAUGACGGCCUUCGGGUUGUAAACCGCAUUCGCCUGUGACGAAGCGUGAGUGACGGUAAUGGGUAAAGAAGCACCGGCUAACUACGUG